rnacentral:rRNA from 1 species
GCCAACGUCCAUACCACGUUGAAAACACCGGUUCUCGUCUGAAAGCGCGGUCAGUACUUGGAUGGGUGACCGCCUGGGAACACCGCGUGACGUUGUCU